rnacentral:rRNA from 1 species
GCUAGUGAAAGUCCGGGGCUUAACCCCGGAUCUGCGGUGGGUACGGGCAGACUAGAGUGCAGUAGGGGAGACUGGAAUUCCUGGUGUAGCGGUGGAAUGCGCAGAUAUCAGGAGGAACACCGAUGGCGAAGGCAGGUCUCUGGGCUGUAACUGACGCUGAGGAGCGAAAGCAUGGGGAGCGAACAGGAUUAGAUACCCUGGUAGUCCAUGCCGUAAACGUUGGGCACUAGGUGUGGGGACCAUUCCACGGUUUCCGCGCCGCAGCUAACGCAUUAAGUGCCCCGCCUGGGGAGUACGGCCGCAAGGCUAAAACUCAAAGGAAUUGACGGGGGCCCGCACAAGCGGCGGAGCAUGCGGAUUAAUUCGAUGCAACGCGAAGAACCUUACCAAGGCUUGACAUGUUCUCGAUCGCCGUAGAGAUACGGUUUCCCCUUUGGGGCGGGUUCACAGGUGGUGCAUGGUUGUCGUCAGCUCGUGUCGUGAGAUGUUGGGUUAAGUCCCGCAACGAGCGCAACCCUCGUUCCAUGUUGCCAGCACGUAAUGGUGGGGACUCAUGGGAGACUGCCGGGGUCAACUCGGAGGAAGGUGAGGACGACGUCAAAUCAUCAUGCCCCUUAUGUCUUGGGCUUCACGCAUGCUACAAUGGCCGGUACAAUGGGUUGCGAUACUGUGAGGUGGAGCUAAUCCCAAAAAGCCGGUCUCAG